rnacentral:lncRNA from 1 species
GCCGUCAUUUUCAGCUGACCGACAAUUUUUUUUGCUCCUCCGUUGGCCGCCGGACGUUUCAUGACGAGUUUUAUUUGCAUAUUUUUCGGCGCCUUUCCGCCCGUUUGUUAUUACAAAAUUGGUCCAAUUAAAACUGUAUAAAAAUCGACGGGCGUUAAGUGGCCAGUCACAGUUGUCUUUCAGUGUUCAGUCUUAUCACAACCGAUACCCACCAAUCUAUCACCAUGUACAAGAUCGCCGCUUUAUUGGCCCUCGUCGCCGCCGUGAGCUGCAUGCCCCAAUACGGCCACCAAGAGUCCUACCACCACGAGCCCCACUACCCCUCGGAGCCAAUCAAAUACGAGUUCAAUACUCCGUCCACGACCCCCACACCCACGAUGUCCACAGCCAGGAAGAGAGCGGAGACGGUCACUACGUCAAGGAGUCUACAAGCUCAACGAACCCUACGGAGGAGAGCGUGUCGUCGAGUACUCCGACAACGGACACGGAUUCGUCGCUCACGUACACACCUCCAAGAUCUCGCAUCCCCAGAACUACGGACAUGGUGGUUACGGACAUUAAUGACCUAACCUCAAAUCUCCUUCCCAUCGCACCCACACACCCGAAUCCAUACCUCUUCACGAGUACCAUUCGGACUCGAAAAUCACCGGCAGCACCAGAUAAAAUUAAAUCCAAGGACAUUUCCAGGACUCAUAUAAUGGUCGGCCUUUUCUUAUCAUUCUCAUCCUCAUUUUCAUACUUCACCUCGCAUCAUUUCUUUCAUUUUCAUUUCCAUUCUUCGUAUACGUCAUAAUCAUCAUCAUCAUACCUUCAUUAUCAUCAUCAUUCUUCACUUUCUCUUCCAUUAGUGUCAAUUUUGACCGAACGUGCACCUUGUAAAAGAUUCUUGUGAUAAAAGACUGAAUUAGGAUCGUCUUAUUUACUCAUUUUUGUUUGUUUUUUGUUGAUUUUGUGAGUACUUGUGACAGCAACUGCACCCGAUUGAAAGAUCAUUUAAAUAUUUUCAAACUGAUUCUCUUGAUAUGUUUGUGUAAACUGCAAAGAAUCUAAUUCAUCUCAUUGUGAAUAAAUCAUACCAUACCAAAAAUCAAUUUGCUUUGUUGUUCUUCCUUUAAAUGUGAAUAGAUUAACAAAAUAGAUGCAAAUAUAAUGGUACAAGUCCGAAUUCACAUUAUAUAAGUGAAGACCAAAAGGAGUACCUGUUCGAUAGCAUAUUUUUGACAUUAACUUGCAAUUGCUGCGCACUGGUGCAGUAUUUUUCGAAUGAUACGUACAAAACAGAAAGAAAAGCCGAGAACAAUUCAUUAAAAUGACAGAAUGAAAUAACCUUACGCAAAAUGUCAACAAUUUUUCUCAUCAGUAUUACUUUUUUAAGAAAAACACAUCAAAUUACAUUCGAAAUAAUUGAAAAAAUGCAUCCAAUAUUAAAUUUAAAAAAAAAUUUUAAUCAAUUUCAUAAUAUUCAAUUUAUACUUGAAACUGAUAACCGCGACUCAUAUUUUUUCGCCUCUAAGAAUUGGUUUACGUUAAAUAAUUUUCUGUUUGGAUAUUCGUUUUGGUCCAGAAUAUGA